AUGCCUUACACAUGCAAGUCGAACGGCAGCAUGGAAGAGCUUGCUCUUCUGAUGGCGAGUGGCGAACGGGUGAGUAAAGCAUCGGAACGUACCGUGUAGUGGGGGAUAACGUAGCGAAAGUUACGCUAAUACCGCAUACGCACUGAGGUGGAAAGCAGGGGAUCGCAAGACCUUGCGCUAUACGAGCGGCCGAUGUCAGAUUAGCUAGUUGGUAGGGUAAAGGCCUACCAAGGCGACGAUCUGUAGCGGGUCUGAGAGGAUGAUCCGCCACACUGGGACUGAGACACGGCCCAGACUCCUACGGGAGGCAGCAGUGGGGAAUUUUGGACAAUGGGCGAAAGCCUGAUCCAGCCAUGCCGCGUGAGUGAAGAAGGCCUUCGGGUUGUAAAGCUCUUUCGGCUGGGAAGAAAUCGCACAGGCUAAUACUCUGUGUGGAUGACGGUACCAGCACAAGAAGCACCGGCUAACUACGUG
rnacentral:rRNA from 1 species